rnacentral:rRNA from 1 species
GAUGAACGCUGGCGGCGUGCUUAACACAUGCAAGUCGAACGGGAAACCUUUUAUUGAAGCUUCGGCAGAUUUAGCUGGUUUCUAGUGGCGGACGGGUGAGUAACGCGUGGGUAACCUGCCUUAUACAGGGGGAUAACAACCAGAAAUGGUUGCUAAUACCGCAUAAGCGCACAGGACCGCAUGGUCCGGUGUGAAAAACUCCGGUGGUAUAAGAUGGACCCGCGUUGGAUUAGCUAGUUGGUGAGGUAACGGCCCACCAAGGCGACGAUCCAUAGCCGGCCUGAGAGGGUGAACGGCCACAUUGGGACUGAGACACGGCCCAGACUCCUACGGGAGGCAGCAGUGGGGAAUAUUGCACAAUGGGGGAAACCCUGAUGCAGCGACGCCGCGUGAAGGAAGAAGUAUCUCGGUAUGUAAACUUCUAUCAGCAGGGAAGAAAAUGACGGUAC